CCUGGUGGCUCAGAGGUUAAAGUGUCUGCCUGGAAUGCGGGAGACCCAGGUUCAAUCCCUGGGUCAGGA
rnacentral:tRNA from 1 species